ACCACAAAGAGAAAACAAUUUCAAAUCAAACAGAACAGUUUAUUCAGCCCGAUAUAAAUAUCUUUUUUUUUUCCCCUCAUCAAGAAACACACACAUGAACUUCACUUCAGGGCAGUGUGAGUGCUUCUUCUGCCUUCAAGUUCAUCUGGCAAACUGAAAAAUCAAAACAGCCCUGGUUGUGAAUCACCUUUACACUGAUGUUUCUGCUGUGGAGGACAUGUUAGCCCCUGCCACAUUUGUGUGGUGCUUCUGAUUUUCAAGUUCACUGUGAUCCAGUUUGGCCUCAAAUAGUCUGGAAAACACCAUUUCUCAAAAGCAGUUGAAGUGCUACAGGGCUUCAGGGCAGAUGACCCUCUCUUGCUGUUCCCACUGGGUGUCAUAAACUCCAUGACUACUUCCAAGAAAUGUUAAGUGGUCGGGACUGUGGAGACCUGGUCUUGAUGAUCCAGCUAUAAUGUCCUAAUUCUGUUUUUCUGUCUCUUGAAGGACUGUGGCUUUUCAGCAAAAGGCAACAGAAACCAAAAUCCAGAAUCCCAGACUUGUGACCAGCCACCAAAGCAGUACUCCAGGGAUAAGAGUGGUGUAAGCAGUGACAGCAAAUUUCAACUUCCAAUAGACCUGCCCAGAGGGAAAGCAGGAAGAAUACUUGAAGACAGACACCGUGUUUGCUUGACAUACAAAUCACAGGUCUCCAUGUAUACUUCAAACCAGAGAUUCUGUCUCAGAUCUUUUCAAUCUAUGGGUAAAUUAUGACUUUUCUAACUUGUUAUUCUGAAGCCUCAUUUGAUCAUUAUGAUUAUAAAAUAAUCUCAUAACCAAAUACAUUUUAUGUGCUGAAGGAGUUCAAAAGCCUCUCUCUGUUUCUCUGUAACUCAUUUUCUCUGUUUCAAAUGAAAAUAAAUAUUCUUC